UACGUAGGGUGCAAGCGUUGUCCGGAAUUAUUGGGCGUAAAGAGCUUGUAGGCGGUUUGUCGCGUCUGCUGUGAAAUUUCGGGGCUCAACCCCGAACUUGCAGUGGGUACGGGCAGACUAGAGUGUGGUAGGGGAGACUGGAAUUCCUGGUGUAGCGGUGAAAUGCGCAGAUAUCAGGAGGAACACCGAUGGCGAAGGCAGGUCUCUGGGCCAUAACUGACGCUGAGAAGCGAAAGCAUGGGAGCGAACAGG
rnacentral:rRNA from 1 species